UACGGGAGGCAGCAGUGGGGAAUAUUGCACAAUGGGCGAAAGCCUGAUGCAGCGACGCCGCGUGAGGGAUGACGGCCUUCGGGUUGUAAACCUCUUUCAGCAGGGAAGAAGCGAAAGUGACGGUACCUGCAGAAGAAGCGCCGGCUAACUACGUGCCAGCAGCCGCGGUAAUACGUAGGGCGCGAGCGUUGUCCGGAAUUAUUGGGCGUAAAGAGCUCGUAGGCGGCUUGUCGCGUCGGUUGUGAAAGCCCGGGGCUUAACCCCGGGUCUGCAGUCGAUACGGGCAGGCUAGAGUUCGGUAGGGGAGAUCGGAAUUCCUGGUGUAGCGGUGAAAUGCGCAGAUAUCAGGAGGAACACCGGUGGCGAAGGCGGAUCUCUGGGCCGAUACUGACGCUGAGGAGCGAAAGCGUGGGGAGCGAACAGGAUUAGAUACCCUGGUAGUCCACGCCGUAAACGGUGGGCACUAGGUGUGGGCGACAUUCCACGUCGUCCGUGCCGCAGCUAACGCAUUAAGUGCCCCGCCUGGGGAGUACGGCCGCAAGGCUAAAACUCAAAGGAAUUGACGGGGGCCCGCACAAGCGGCGGAGCAUGUGGCUUAAUUCGACGCAACGCGAAGAACCUUACCAAGGCUUGACAUACACCGG
rnacentral:rRNA from 1 species